rnacentral:lncRNA from 1 species
AGGAGUAGGAUGUUAUAGGAGAAGGAUGUUAUAGGAGUAGGAUGUUGUAGGAUAAGGAUGUUAUAGCAGUAGGAUGUUAUAGGAGUAUGAUGUUAUAGGCGAAGGAUGUUAUAGGGCCAGGUGUUAUAGGAGAAGGAUGUUAUAGGGCCAGGUGUUAUAGGAGAAGGAUGUUAUAGGGCCAGGUGUUAUAGGAGUAUGAUGUUAUAGGGCCAGGUGUUAUAGGAGUAAGAUGUUACAGGAGAAGGAUGUUCGAGGAGAAGGAUGUUCUAGGGCCAGGUGUUAUAGGAGUAGGAUGUUAUAGCAGUAUGAUGUUAUAGGAGUAGGAUGUUAUAGGACCAG